UGAGCAAUCUGCCCUUCUCAUCGGAAUAUGCGUUGGAAACGACGUCUAAUGCCGAAUACGACCUCCUUUCACAUGAUCGGAGGUGGAAAGCUCCGGCGGAGAAGGAUGAGCUCGCGGCCUAUCAGCUAGUUGGUGGGGUAAUGGCUCACCAAGGCGACGACGGGUAGCUGGUCUGAGAGGAUGGCCAGCCACAUUGGGACUGAGACAUCGGCA
rnacentral:rRNA from 1 species